GACAGAGGGUGCAAACGUUGUUCGGAAUUACUGGGCGUAAAGCGCUCGCAGGCGGAUCGAUAAGUCAGGGGUGAAAUCCCGGGGCUCAACCUCGGAAUUGCCUUUGAUACUGUCAAUCUCGAGUCCGGGAGAGGUGAGUGGAAUUCCUAGUGUAGAGGUGAAAUUCGUAGAUAUUAGGAAGAACACCAGUGGCGAAGGCGGCUCACUGGCCCGGAACUGACGCUCAUGAGCGAAAGCGUGGGGAGCAAACAGG
rnacentral:rRNA from 1 species